CAGCAAACAAAGAACAAUUCUAUAUAUAUAGAAGCUCUCAUGCUAAAACUACUAAUAUGGGUUCUCCCUUCUAGCACACCUCUUCCUUUAAACUUAAGAAUUAACGGACCACAAAAGGAAGGAAAAUACACUCUACGACUCCUACCUCCUCCUGUAAGCUCAACGCUGGUGUGCAAAAUUAAAAUUAAAAGUCUCAGAAGGAACUCGGCAAACACGAACCCCAACUGUUUACCAAAAACAUAGCCUUUAGCCAUUCUAGUAUUAAAGGUACUGCCUGCCCAGUGAAUUUUUUUAACGGCCGCGGUAUCCUA
rnacentral:rRNA from 1 species